AUACGUAGGGGGCGAGCGUUGUCCGGAAUGAUUGGGCGUAAAGGGCGCGUAGGCGGCCCGGUAAGUCUGGAGUGAAAGUCCUGUUUUUAAGAUGGGAAUUGCUUUGGAUACUGUCGGGCUUGAGUGCAGGAGAGGUAAGUGGAAUUCCCAGUGUAGCGGUGAAAUGCGUAGAGAUUGGGAGGAACACCAGUGGCGAAGGCGUCUUACUGGGCCGUAACUGACGCUGAGGCGCGAAAGCGUGGGGAGCGAACAGGAUUAGAUACCCUGGUAGUCCACGCUGUAAACGAUGAAUGCUAGGUGUAGGGGGUAUCGACCCCUCCUGUGCCGGAGUAAACGCAAUAAGCAUUCCGCCUGGGGAGUACGGCCGCAAGGUUGAAACUCAAAUGAAUUGGCGGGG
rnacentral:rRNA from 1 species